rnacentral:rRNA from 1 species
UCAACCUGCGGAAGGAUCAUUGUCGUGACCCGUAACCAAAACCGACCGAGCACGCGUCAUCCAACCUGCCGACGACGGCAUCGUUCGUCGCUCGGCAAAUUCCUCGAACACCUCCUCUCCUCGGAGUGGGGGAUCGGGGUAAAAGAACCCACGGCGCCAAAGGCGUCAAGGAACACUGUGCCAAGCUCGGGGAUGCGGCUGGCUUGCUGGCUGCCCCCCGUGCUGCAAUGCUAUUUAAUCCACACGACUCUCGGCAACGGAUAUCUCGGCUCUCGCAUCGAUGAAGAACGUAGCGAAAUGCGAUACCUGGUGUGAAUUGCAGAAUCCCGCGAACCAUCGAGUCUUUGAACGCAAGUUGCGCCCGAGGCCUUUCGGCUGAGGGCACGCCUGCCUGGGCGUCACGCAAAACACGCUCCCACACCCCCUCAUUUGGGAAUGGGAWGCGGCAUGUGGCCCCCCGUCACGCAAGGGGCGGUGGGCCGAAGAUAUGGCUGCCGGCGCAUCGUGUCGGACACAGCGCGUGGUGGGGGUCCUCGCUUUACUUACCGCAGUGCAUCCRGCAUGUAGCCGACGUGAUGGCCAGAAAGGACCCUUUUGAACGGUGCGUACAACGCUCCGACCGCGACCCCAGGUCAGGCGGGACUACCCGCUGAAUUUAAGCAUAUCAAUAAGCGGAGGAA